AUGGUUGAGUUCCAGCCCUCUGCCCCCAAAUGUUUGCAGUGUCACCAAGGAAACAGGUUUAUUUUGAUAUUAGUUUCUCAAAUUCCACCUUUUAUCUUUCUGCCAGAAACAGUCCUGACAAAACAACCUACUGAUAAGUCAGAAGAAGAAUUAAGAAUGUGGAACUGGAGAAGAACUAUAGUAAAAGUGGUAUGCUGGAGUGCAUAGGAAUACUUGGGUCAGAAGGAAGUGAGACCCACACCUGUUGAGUACUUGAGAGUCACAAGGUAUGUUAUGCCCAUUACAAGUCCCACUCAUUCUCGUAACAACCCAACAAGGCAGUG
rnacentral:lncRNA from 1 species